UUUUUUUUUUUUUUUUUUUUUUUAAGAUUGGCCUGCAUCUGCCAGGUACAGAGGUGAUAGGCUCUACAGCCACUGUGUCCAGCAACACUUAUUGAGCAGUUAUUAUGGGACACACCUAUGACUCACAGUGAAUUCCCUGCCUUAACAGAGUUGGUAUUUGAGUGGGAGACUGGCCCUGAAAGACACCAUCCUUAUCAGCUGACAGAUUAUAGUCACCCAGUUACUCUUGACAAACCCCGCAUCCAUACAUACAUCUGUGCACACAUAGACCACAAUUGGACACAAUGAGCUUGACACACCCAUCCACCUACAGUGUUGACAUCACACAUAAACAAGCCCAUAGGAUUGGCAUAUAUACACUAAUACACUAGUGGUGCCACCAACUAUGGUACACCCCCCCCAGAGUCCCCUCCCCUCCCCCUGAGCUCCCUUUAGCAGCAGAGUAGUCUAGAGCAGACCUCUACUCCAAUCCAUUAACAGGUGUAUAUAGCAGACAAAUGAGUUUGUGCAGACAGCCCACCGUGAUGCAUACCCAGGACCGCUCUGCUCCUUGUUAAAGAAGUUCAGAGGAGUAGCUGGAGUUCCCAUCACUUCCUUGAUCAUAGCCCCUGACCCAGGAGAAGCCAGACCCCUCUCACUCAUCUGCAGGCCUGGCCUCACAUCCAGACAGCCUGGAAAUUUGGGGCUUUUGGCCUACUUAUAGUACAUAGGAGCUCCUGUCUGAGCUCCCCCCCCCCCACUCCCCAGCCCCCUGAAAGACCCGAGUAUCUGAGAAGCUCCUGAGAUUAGGAGGGAAGGGUGGGUAUCUCAGAAGUCGUGUAAGUAUGGCAAUAAUAAUAAUUAAUAAUAAUAAUAAGGUCUAGACAACCUGGGCCACCAAUGUGACCCUAUGGAGAUUCCCACCUGUCCUGUCACUAUCCCCCCAAUAAUGGACUGUUUUCCAGGCCCUACCUACUCUUCCCUUCUGCCCAGCUGAUUUACACACAGGUAUUGCACACUGAACACUGCAGACCACAGGGCACAAUAUAGCAGACAGCUAACCCAUCUUUUACUUGAUGGUAGAGCUACCCCCAUCUGGCUGGGAUUGGCAUUUCACCUCAACCUGACCUCUAGGACUUGCCAGCUGCUCAGAGAGACUGGGGCAGGCUCCACCUAGGUCAUUCCCAAGCUGACUUCUGCGCUGCAGUGCCCCUGCUUCUGGACCUGGGGUUGGGGGAUGGAAGGAGACAGUUUCCCACCCUUACACUAAGGGACUUCAAAGUCAGACCUCCCGCCCAAGCACUCUAGGCCGACCAACACAUGGCGGGAAGUAAAUGAUCAGCCCCUAGCUGCAGGAAUUCAGGUCAAGACUCUGAUCCUCACACACCAGGGGGCUUGGCUGCCAAAAACCUCAAGGAGCAGCCCCGGGAAGAAGAAGGACAGACACAUAGGGAGGGUGCAGGCAGACCCAGACAGUCGACCCCCGCUGACAAAGGGCAGGCAAGCGCAGACAGACACUGAGGGCGGGAAGCCCGCACCACGCCUGCAGACAAAGAGACAGGAGGGGGUGGGGCCUGGCGCCUCCGCCAUGCCACGCCCCCCGCCAAACUCCCACAGGCAGGCUGUCCUGCCGUGAAUACCCCUAACAUACACCUCCCAUUAUGUAAAGGACAAAAAUCAGAGUUCUGCAGGGGAAGUAAGCAAAGUGGACUUACAGAAUAAAAGAGGGGUGUCUGCAAGAUGGCCCGCAUUGCCCAGAGUGUCCCGUGUGCCUCAUAAUCCUCCAUUUUAGCUUUCAGGAACCCCCUAAAACUGUUCUGAACUGGCAGCAGGCCCUUCCCCAGGGGCACAGUGGUGGUCUGUGCAAAGCGCCUGUGACCAGCUCAUCUUCAUCUGACCAGUCUAGACCUUUAUUUCCUCAGGGCUGAGAGCUACCAAAGCAGGAGACCUGCCUUUCCCAUGCAGGACCUCUUAAUCCAUGGCCAGAAAGAGAGGGCCCCUGGGGCUGGGAAUGUGACCAGUUACCGGGCCCUGGGCUGAGGAAGCAGGGUUAGGGCUCUACCGGGAGAUAGUGCUUCCUAAGUCUUGCUGGAGCCAGGGGCCAGGUUUGGGUCUGUAGGUAGGGGUGGCCCUUAAAAGGAGCUGAACUUCUAGGGAACUUCUAGGGGUGCCCUGGAACCACACUGAGGUGCUAGGCAGGGGGUAGGACCUAAGCUCUCAGGUGAUUGAGUUUGGCGUUAGAUCUAAAAGGGAUGGUUUGUAGGAGGGCCAUAGGGAACCCUGUCAAAGGCCUGAAUUGGAGGGCAAGUCUGCAGUGGUGGCCUGGUACUGCACAGGCCGGUGCUAACCCUGCAGGAGUUUCACACAAGCAUACUACUACAUUUAGUGUUCUUGAUCUGUCUUGUGUGACUUCAGGAGAUCCUUGAGGGUCACCUCUCCCUCUCUGAGGUGUUCUGAGCUCAGUUAAAGCAAAAGGGAAGCCUCCCCCCCCCCCCCCGCACUCCCCCUCCCGACCAUUUAGAAGCCUUUGGGUGGGGGUGGGGUGUGUCUGUGUAUAGCCUUCUUUCACAGCUCACUGCUCUACUGGGUAGGGCAGUGGUGGUCUCAGAAACCGUCAAACUAAGUUUAGUGACCAUGGGAAGGUGGAAAAGUUUACAAUAUAUUGAAAGCCUUAUUUAUCUCAAGUUUGCUGGAGAAGCCCUGUUACAUUGUAUAAAAGUAACUUGUUUACGGCUCAGUUGCCCUAUGCCUAGCCCAGGCCCAGACCAGAACCUGAUGACCUACCCGAGUUCCCAGAAUGGUGGCUAGAAAAUCCCCACUUUGUAUUUUGGCCUCAGUCUUUCCAACUGACCAGUGAGGGGAAUUUGUAUCUCUCAGAAAUGCUUUGGAGGAUUUUAUUUAUCACAGUACUUAGCCCUCAUCAGGAAUUCACUCUUUAGGUCAGGUUAGCCUGUAACCUUACUAAGGCCAUCCCAACCCUCAGACUCCAGAGUGCUGAGAUAUCAGUUGUGAAUGCAUCCCUUGAAUAUAUAUAGCACAUGAAUUGAGACAGGCACAUUAUCAUCUCUGUUGCAGGGGCUGCGUUUUUUACAUUAUGGUUUGUAUUUGUGCUGCUUCUUCUGAGUCUCC
rnacentral:lncRNA from 1 species